rnacentral:miRNA from 1 species
ACACUCGGCUCACUACUUAUGA